GAGUUUGAUCAUGGCUCAGAUUGAACGCUGGCGGCAGGCUUAACACAUGCAAGUCGAGCGGGGAGGUUGCUUCGGUAACUGACCUAGCGGCGGACGGGUGAGUAAUACUUAGGAAUCUGCCUAUUAAUGGGGGACAACAUCUCGAAAGGGAUGCUAAUACCGCAUACGCCCUACGGGGAAAGCAGGGGAUCACUUGUGACCUUGCGUUAAUAGAUGAGCCUAAGUCGGAUUAGCUAGUUGGUGGGUAAAGCCUACCAAGGCGACGAUCUGUAGCGGGUCUGAGAGGAUGAUCCGCCACACUGGGACUGAGACACGGCCCAGACUCCUACGGGAGGCAGCAGUGGGGAAUAUUAGACAAUGGGGGGAACCCUGAUCCAGCCAUGCCGCGUGUGUGAAGAAGGCCUUAUGGUUGUAAAAGCACUUUAAGCGAGGAGGAGGCCU
rnacentral:rRNA from 1 species